AUUGAACGCUGGCGGCAGGCCUAACACAUGCAAGUCGAACGAGUGGCGGACGGGGGAGUAAUGGCUGGGAAACUGCCUGAUGGAGGGGGAUAACUACUGGAAACGGUAGCUAAUACCGCAUACCAUCAGAUGUGCCCAGAUGGGAUUAGCUAGUUGGUGGGGUAACGGCUCACCAAGGCGACGAUCCCUAGCUGGUCUGAGAGGAUGACCAGCGAGUGUGGAACUAUGACACGGUCCAGACUCCUACGGGAGGCAGCAGUGGGGAAUAUUGCACAAGGGGCGCAAGCCUGAUACAGCCAUGCCGAGUGUAUGAAGAAGGCCUUCGGGUUGUAAAGUACUUUAAGCGAGGAGGCGUUACCCGCAGAAGAAGCACCGGCUAACUCCGUGCCAGCAGCCGCGGUAAUUC
rnacentral:rRNA from 1 species